rnacentral:rRNA from 1 species
UACGGAGGGUGCAAGCGUUAUCCGGAUUUACUGGGUUUAAAGGGAGCGUAGGUGGGUCGGUAAGUCAGUGGUGAAAUCUUCGAGCUUAACUCGGAAACUGCCAUUGAUACUAUCGAUCUUGAAUUAUCUGGGGGUAAGCGGAAUAUGUCAUGUAGCGGUGAAAUGCUUAGAUAUGACAUAGAACACCCAUUGCGAAGGCAGCUUACUACGGAUAUAUUGACACUGAGGCUCGAAAGCGUGGGGAUCAAACAGG